rnacentral:tRNA from 1 species
GGGGAGGUGCCGGAGUGGUCGAACGGGCUCGCCUGCUAAGCGAGUGUACCCAUAACGGGUACCGAGGGUUCGAAUCCCUCCCUCCCCG